GAACAAGGAGGUUCGUCUAUGGCC
rnacentral:siRNA from 1 species